rnacentral:lncRNA from 1 species
CUCCGCACGCCGCUGGCCGCCCGGGCUUCUCGGCGCGCGUUCGUCGCGCUGACAGUCCCGUCCGCUGCUUGUCCUCGAGUCCUGGGGUGUGAGGAAGCGAAAAGGGACUGGACGAGCGGUGGGCUACCUCUUCGGUGAGGAAGAAGUCCGGCCUGGGGUGCGAAGGGCGCUGACGUUUGGGGGCACCUUACAGUGUCGCUCUGGGCUUCCGAGUUUCUCCCUCCGCUGGCUGGCUUCCUCAGCUAAAGAGCAAGGGAUGUGCCCGGGUGGGUGAUAUGCAACUUGCUAGGCCUCCCUCCGUGGCUGUCCCGUCACCACCCGCCCCGAGCUCAGAGACCGGAGGCUUCUGGUGUGGGGUCGGGCUUGUCGCCCCAGGGCAGGGAGUUACAGCCCCUUCCUUCCGUGAGGGUGAGAAGGGCGACAUGGUUCGACACAGCAGGUGAAGGGUAUAAGAAGAAGUUAGCAGUCUACAAGCCAGAAAAAAAUUUCUCACCCGGACUCAACCAUACUGGUACCCUGAUCUUGGAUUUCCAGUCUCCAGAAAUGACAAACAUCUGGGUUCAUUUGGAAAGGAAGUCCAUCAUUCAUACUGCACAGUGGAAUUUAGAAAGUGCUAAAGACACAAAGUGAAGAAGUUUCCUAAGAGAAUAUAGGUAAGGAAGAGAGUCUUUGUCAUUUCUAUGCUAUAUUAUGGGGAACCUUCACCUCCUAGAGUAACCUGAUGCUAGGUUGAUGAUUUUCAUACAAGCUCAUCUUAUCUCCAUCACAGAGGGAAGAACAUCACUCUACUGUUACCAAAAUCUCUAUUUGUGAUAAGGUAGGUUGUCAACUAUGCCUUAAAAAAUCAUAGCAGGAUAUUGCUGACAAAGUAACAAGGGCUUUCCAGAUCUUUUGCUAAUGUUUUGUCACAUUAAUUUUUUGUUUUUCCUUAGUCCAGAAUUUUAGAAGGCAGUUGACUAGGUCUUCUUCAGAAGAUAAGGCUACAUAAUUUCAUUAUCACUGCAUUAUUUCCCAAAGACCUUGUCAGCUAGAAUCUGCUUUAAAAUAAUGGUCUUUUGGAGUUCCCUUUGUGGCUUAGCAGGUUAAGGACCUGCUGUUGUCUCAUGAGGAUUUGGGUUCGAUCCCUGGCCUCACUCAGUGGGUUAAGGAUCCUGCAUUGCCAUAAGCCGUGGCACAGGUUGCAGAUGCAGCUCGGAUCCAGUGUUGCUGUGGCUAUGGUGUAGGCCUCAGCUGCAGCUCCAAGAUUUGACCCCGAUUCCUGGAACUUCCAUAUGCUGCAGGUAUGGCCAUUAAAAAAUAUAUAAAUAAAUAAAUAAAUAAAAUAAUGGUCUUCAAAGUGAGUUACCUCUAUUGCUUGGGCUACACAAGGGCCACUUACCAGCUGUGCGGGAGUGCCCCACUCCUGGUCUCCACUCUGAGCUCUGCUCAGGGGGUGCUGCAGGUCGGCAGCUGCGGUGGCUCACGUUUACUCAGUAUAGAGACUGAUGGCAAGUGACAAACGUCAAUUCACAGUAAUAAAAGACUUUAAAACAUAAAAAUAUACUGCAUUACCUAAAAUUCUGGGAAUGGAGAAUGGAGUGGAAAUAAGAUUUCAGUAAGAAAAAGGAAUGAUGUAAAAUGCAGUCUCUUUUGUUGGACUUUAAGGCGCCUGCAAGGGAAUACAACUCAAAGCCUCUGGCCAAGAUAAGAAUUACCAGACCUUUAUCAUCGCCCCACACUUCUCAUUGUAAGGCACCCUCCCUCACCUGGAGCAACCUGGCCUACUCCUUCCUGACCCCUACUAGGAAAGGCAUGUGGCCCACUCCUCACCCCACACCUAUAGGCCCCCAGCUACUCAGCAAGUGUAUCAUAAGACUCCUCUUUCCCCAACAAAUCAGCAGGUCAGCAGGCAUAGCACACCUCUCCUCUCCCUGGAUUGUAAAAACAGACAUGACCACACGCCCUGGUCGGCUCUCCCUGAUUGUCGUCCUCCUACGCUUGCAGCAUCUCUUAUCUCAGUAAACUCUACUUUCUCUUCACCCUGCCAUGCUCAAUAAACUCUUCUUUCUUUGUACCUUGACAUGAGUCCGGAAAUUCUUUGCCCACCCAAGUGCACAGACCACAACGUUUUUUAUGAAUGAUAGUGAGUGUCUAAUAAAUAUAUUAUUUAGAUGUAUUAGAGACACGAGUCAUGUGAUGAUUUUAUUUUAAAAUGCCAAGAUUUAUAAUACAAUGGAAGUUACAUCCUAUAAAGUGAAAUUUCUAAUGGAGAGUUUUAGAUGUCAACUUUCAAAUGUGGAAACAGUGUUUCAAAACUCUUUUAAGGGAGAAAGUGGGCAAAAAUAUUCAGAUGACUGCCUCAGAUGACAGCUAAUCAAACCCCUUUCAUUUUGUAGAAGUGGCAGCUGAGGACCAGAAGUUCUGUUCUUGAACCAGAAUCCAGGACACAUCCAGUCACUGGUUCUGUGACUCUAUUCCAUCUCCUACACACAGGGUUCUGUGAGAAAGCCCGUGUUUAUUAAUGACACGAUACCUCUAAGUAAGAGGUCGUCUCUGAAAUGCAUUUGAGUUGAGAGCUGUCUGACAUCUGCAGUAACCUGUCACCACCAGUCUCAGCUGUCAUCAGGAUUGUCUCUAAAGCAAACAUUUAGAAAUAUGAGGUGUCCAUACAUCUAUCUCAGUCACCUGGGUUGUAGUUUAACUAUUGAUUUCCCUGACACAGCUGGAAGCAGCUUGGGCUAUUCAUUGCCUUAGUUGGCUUGGGCUGUGCUGACAACAAAAUACCAUAAACUGGGUGGCUUAAACAACAAAAAUUAACUUUCUCACAGUUCUGGAGCUAAAAGUGAGAUUAGAUUGCCAGCACGGUCAGGUCCUGGUGAGAGUUCUGUUCCUGGCUUGCACACAGUUGCCUUCCCUCUGCUCCUGCCUGCUAAGAGAAAGCAAGCUCUGGUCUCUCCUCUUUGUUUUGGCUGUGCCCAUGGCAUAUGGCAGUUUCUGGGCCAGGGAUUGAACCCAUGCCACAGCAGUAACCAGAGCCAGAGUAGUGACAAUGCCAGGUCCUUAACCCACUGAGCCACCAGAGAACUCUGGACUCCUCUUCUUACAGGGGCAUAAUCCUAUUGGAUCAGCCUCCUACCCUAUGAUCUCAUUUAACUUUACUUCCAUAACAGCUCUAUCUCCAAAUGUCACAGUAGGGGUUAGGGCUUCAACAUACAAAUUUCAGUUGGACACAAACAUUCGGUUCCUAACAUGCGUAAAUCUUUAUAUACCUUGUACCUAACCUAAUAGAUGGUACCAGUGAUCAUUAAUAAAUUUCUGCUGAAUGAAUUCAUAUUAAUGCCUUAUAUGAGUGGCAAUGUAGUAAAGCAGAGGGAAAACUAACUCUAUGACCUCGGGCAAGUCAUGUAAACUUCAUGAAGAGCCUCAACUUGUUCAGAUGUAAAAUCUAGGUAGCAACUCUUAUGUUAUGAGGCUUAGAAGGGAGGUGUGGGAAUUCCCUUUGUGGCUCAGUGGAAACAAGCCUGACUGGUAUCCUUGAGGAUGUGGGUUUGCUCCCUUGGCCUUGCUCAGUGAGUUAAGGAUCUGGCAUUUCCAUGAACUGUGGUGUGGGUUGUAGAUGCAGCUUGGAUCUGGCAUUGCUGUGGCUGUGGUGUAGGCCAACAGCUAUAGCUCCUUUGGCCCCUAGCCUGGGAACUUCCACAUGCCUCGGGUUUAGCCCUAAAAAUAAAAAUAAAAAAAAA